UACGGGGGGGGCAAGCGUUGUUCGGAAUUACUGGGCGUAAAGGGCUCGUAGGCGGCCAACUAAGUCAGACGUGAAAUCCCUCGGCUUAACCGGGGAACUGCAUCUGAUACUGGAUGGCUUGAGUUCGGGAGAGGGAUGCGGAAUUCCAGGUGUAGCGGUGAAAUGCGUAGAUAUCAAGAGGAACACCUGAGGUGAAGACGGGUUGCUGGGCCGACACUGACGCUGAGUGCGCGAAAGCCAGGGGAGCAAACGGG
rnacentral:rRNA from 1 species